AUAUUCUAGAAUUGUCUACGUUCUCUUCGACUCUUCUUUUUCCAAAUUUCUGAAAUUAAUAUAUCCAAACAAUCCCUUAAUUCACUGAUCGGAAAAUCUCGAUUCUCAGCGGUAAUUGCGAUGUUGAUGGUGACUUCGACGGCGGCAGCAAACGGUUACAGCACAUAUUUUCCAACGCCGUUUCAUCUCCAACAACAACCAUACAUUGGUCCUGCUCCUUCGCCGUUUGCUCCUCCUGUUUAUUCAGCUCCCGCAGCUAUUUCCCGGGUUUAUUCUUUCCCUCAAUAUCAACAAGCACAUCAAUUAUUUCAAAGAGUUGCCAAACAAUUAUGCCUGAAGCAAUUGAAAAUGUGAAAGCUGCGAUUGCAAGUUGUGAGAUUGAUCAAAAAGCCGAGGCCAAGAGAAAAGCUGUGCGUAGAAAGGCGGCAGGACAAACUUGGGAAGAUCCUACUCUUGCAGACUGGCCAGAGAUUGACUAAGUUAAUUAUUGGGGUCAUGCAAAUGAUUUUCGUCUAUUCUGUGGCAACCUUGGGAAUGAGGUGAAUGAUGAUGUUUUAACAAAAGCAUUUUCAAGAUUUUGUUCCUUUAACAUGGCCAGGGUAAGUUCUUUUAGAAUCAUUUAUGUUUUCCAAUGGUGAAUGUUUUUAAUUGUUAUACAUGGUUCUGUCGGCAACAUGUCUUUUGAGCUGAGGGUCUACUGAAAGCAACCUCUCUACCCCCACACAAAGGUAGGGUAAGAUUUGCUUACAUCCUACCUUCCCAGACCCCACUUAUGGGACUGCUUUGGGUAUGUUGUUGUUAUGCAUUAGUGUUCUUUCUUUUGAUGGUCAUGAAGGGGUGGUGGUCUUCCUGUCUAUAAUUUUUCUCUACUUUCUUUUAUCGAAUUUUAUACGUAUCUCCAGACAUUCAUGGAUAUAGGGGAGAGCUUUAAUCUACCAUAAAAAAAGGGGAAAAAAAGAAAUUCAGAAUGGUAUCACGGCAUGGGAGAAGGCCAUUGUUGGGCUCUUGGAUAGAACCGAACUUGUACUCCUCACCUCGACAUGUAUAUAAAGCGAUUCUCCUUUUCUGUUUGUUGUGGAACUGCAUGUGUUCACAUUUUGUCGUGCACAUGUAAAUUUGCACUAAACUGAAGAACGUCUCUAAUUGCGUUGAUCUUGAACCAGUAAUAAGGUAUUUCAAAAUACUGUGAUCAGCUUUUGAAUGUUUAAAAUGGUGAGUUAUCUAGGUCAUGAGCAUCCACAGGAGGAGGUUAUAUCAGCGGUGAUCUACUGCCCCAAAGACUUGUGUCUAAUUAUCAGAUUCAAGUAUGGAUAUAUGGUCGUGAGAGACAAGCGGACUGGGAAGACAAAGGGAUACGGACUUGUCAGUUUUUCCAACCCUUCAGACCUUGUCGUGGCACUUAAAGAAAUGAAUGGCAAGUGGUCUUUCCAUAUGUAUAAAGCAUAUUCUCUUACUUUGCUUCUGCUACAUUAGUAUACUCAAUUUCUUAAAUGCCAUACCUUGAGAUAGCGGAUGAUUAGAUAUCCUUUGAAGAUCGCCGGACUGGAAUGGUCAAAGAUUUUUCCUGGCGGAAGAGAGAGUUAUUUGCAAAUCCCUCUCCGACGCAAGAAGACUUGCUGGAUGACUAGCACCAAGUCAAAUUAGGGAAAUAUGUUGGAAACCGACCAAUUCAACUUCGGAAGAAAUGCGUCUCCAAAGAAAGCAAAGUCGACAAUAAAGAGCAUAUUGCACAAGUGAGCGUGAAAUUCUUCGAGUAUAUAGCAAUGUUUCAGAUGUAUUCGUGUGGAGGAUUUGAAGUCAUUGAAUGUCAUUUCAGUCUCUAAAUGGGGAAACCUCUUGGCAUUGUGGAAUAGGAAGUCUAUUUGUCCAUACACAUUGUGAUAUUUAUGUAGUCAUUCAUAAAUUCUGUAUCAUUGGAAGGAUCAUUGUUCCAAUGUUCGUGCAAAACCCGAAACCAUCAUCUAUAUGCUAUGGGUAAGAACAAGUGUGUACUGACAAUUUUUGCAAAACCCGAAACAAUCUUCAUCUA